rnacentral:lncRNA from 1 species
AUGAAACUGACAAGAGGAUGCAUCAUUACAAUCACACAACCCCCCCACCUCCCAAAGACUAUAUUUCGGAGGGGAUUUUGUGGACCCUCAUCGGACACCAAACAGGACCAGAUUUUCUCCCCCAAAGCUCAAUAUCUCUUCUUUAGCCAUCAUUUCUUUCUCUCCCCCACAAGCCUCAGUAAACCCCUUCUCUCUUCCCACACCCACCCAUGCAUAUCCCUUUCCACUUUGAGGAUCAGCAAGGAUUCUUCUGGGCUUAAAAGAAGAAGAAAAGGGUCCACAGGAAUUCAUGACCUCUGCCACCCGUGGAGAGAUUUCUUUCCAACCUUUCCAAGCAGCAGUCAGAGAAAGACUGACGCACCCCGAAUGCCCGAGCGGAGAGGGGCUCCUUCUCCCUUCCCAAAGCUUUCAGCUCGCAGCCCGGCUCCUCGUCUCCGUGUGCUCCCGGCAGGUUUGGCUCUGACACCACUGGAGGCGAAAGCUGAACAUCUGUGGUUCUCCUUGGCACGCUAUCCCUCGAAAGCAAAGCCAGCGGCUGCUUUGGCUCCAAGACAGAGUGGAGGAAACCCAAGAAAGGUGGGCUGCUGCCUGGAUCUCUCCGAAGGCUCUGCUUGUUUUUCAAGACCCACCCGGAGUCUUUUCCAUCUUUCCUUCAAAACUGUUUCUUAG